AUUGCUCCAACACGGCCAUCCAUCAUGUCACUAGGACUAACAACAUCUGCCCCAGCUCUGGCCUGAGAAACAGCUUGUUUACAUAGUUGAUGCACUGUUUCAUCAUUCAUUAUAACUCCAUCUUCUCUGACAAUACCAUCAUGCCCAUCAGAGGAAUAUGGAUCCAGAGCAACAUCAGUGUAAAUAACAAGAUCAGGAUAUCGAUCCUUCAACAACC
rnacentral:misc_RNA from 1 species